UGCAAAUGUUGCAACCUAACAUUAUCGUUCAACCUUCCUUUCUGAAAAAUAAAAUUAUCAACGACAAAGCAGGUGUGCAUGUGCCCUCUCUCCUCUUCUAUCUUCUUUGGGUAACAUACUGCAGUGCCGGAUGGGCACAUCACUCACUAAUCCCUGGUUCUGGAAGCCACAUGCACUUUUCUUUUUCUGGGCACCAUGUGAUGGAUGCGUCAACUUUGCCCCCCUGAUCCGAUCAUCCGGGCAUCCAUCCAUCUGACUUCACCUUGGAAAUCUGGUAGGUUCCAUGGCUACCUGCCCUGGUGCUGCACACGACGAUGCUAAGCUGGAAUUGGAAAAUUUCGAACCGUUGGGAUGGAACAUUCCAUUGAAAAUUUAGCCGGGAGAGGGAACUUCUGGAGGAAAGAGAAUUCUUAAACGGAGGAGAUGCACAGCAUGGUUGCCAUGUUCCGCGGGAUGAUGCUUCGAGAGAUAUCUAUUGAGGAUAUGCUAGUAUACACUGUGGCUGUCAGGCUCGGGCACCGAACUCCCAGCGAUGAACAACCGGGAGAUGUAGAUGCCGGUGAAUAUUCGGAAGUGGAAGGCCUGCGUCACUCUGGUUCUGGUUCAACUGUUGCCUGCGAAGAAGCAAUCAAAUGCGCCGGCCUGAUUGAUUCUGAAUCGCAUAGAAAUAGACGAACACGCAGCAGUAGUGGCAAUCAUCAUUGCUCAAGUUCGGUGUCAUGCUG
rnacentral:lncRNA from 1 species